rnacentral:rRNA from 1 species
CGGCAACAGCUCAAAUCUGAAAUCUGGCUCUCGGGCCCGAGUUGUAAUUUGUAGAGGAUGCUUUUGAUGCGGUGCCUUCCGAGUUCCCUGGAACAGGACGUCAUAGAGGGUGAGAAUCCCGUAUGUGACUGGCUGCCUUCGCCUAUGUGAAGCUCUUUCGAC